GGCUUGUUUAAGUUGCCUGUACGUGUGUGUAUGUGGGACACAGGCAGCUAAAGCAAGCCUG
rnacentral:pre_miRNA from 1 species